rnacentral:rRNA from 1 species
GACGAACGCUGGCGGCGUGCUUAACACAUGCAAGUCGAACGGAAAGGCCCUGCUUUUGUGGGGUGCUCGAGUGGCGAACGGGUGAGUAACACGUGAGUAACCUGCCCUUGACUUUGGGAUAACUUCAGGAAACUGGGGCUAAUACCGGAUAGGAGCUCCUGCUGCAUGGUGGGGGUUGGAAAGUUUCGGCGGUUGGGGAUGGACUCGCGGCUUAUCAGCUUGUUGGUGGGGUAGUGGCUUACCAAGGCUUUGACGGGUAGCCGGCCUGAGAGGGUGACCGGCCACAUUGGGACUGAGAUACGGCCCAGACUCCUACGGGAGGCAGCAGUGGGGAAUAUUGCACAAUGGGCGGAAGCCUGAUGCAGCAACGCCGCGUGCGGGAUGACGGCCUUCGGGUUGUAAACCGCUUUCGCCUGUGACGAAGCGUGAGUGACGGUAAUGGGUAAAGAAGCACCGGCUAACUACGUGCCAGCAGCCGCGGUGAUACGUAGGGUGCGAGCGUUGUCCGGAUUUAUUGGGCGUAAAGGGCUCGUAGGUGGUUGAUCGCGUCGGAAGUGUAAUCUUGGGGCUUAACCCUGAGCGUGCUUUCGAUACGGGUUGACUUGAGGAAGGUAGGGGAGAAUGGAAUUCCUGGUGGAGCGGUGGAAUGCGCAUAUAUCAGGAGGAACACCAGUGGCGAAGGCGGUUCUCUGGGCCUUUCCUGACGCUGAGGAGCGAAAGCGUGGGGAGCGAACAGGCUUAGAUACCCUGGUAGUCCACGCUGUAAACGGUGGGUACUAGGUGUGGGGUCCAUUCCACGGGUUCCGUGCCGUAGCUAACGCUUUAAGUACCCCGCCUGGGGAGUACGGCCGCAAGGCUAAAACUCAAAGGAAUUGACGGGGCCCCGCACAAGCGGCGGAGCAUGCGGAUUAAUUCGAUGCAACGCGUAGAACCUUACCUGGGUUUGACAUGGAUCGGGAGUGCUCAGAGAUGGGUGUGCCUCUUUUGGGGUCGGUUCACAGGUGGUGCAUGGCUGUCGUCAGCUCGUGUCGUGAGAUGUUGGGUUAAGUCCCGCAACGAGCGCAACCCUUGUUCACUGUUGCCAGCACGUUAUGGUGGGGACUCAGUGGAGACCGCCGGGGUCAACUCGGAGGAAGGUGGGGAUGACGUCAAGUCAUCAUGCCCCUUAUGUCCAGGGCUUCACGCAUGCUACAAUGGCUGGUACAGAGAGUGGCGAGCCUGUGAGGGUGAGCGAAUCUCGGAAAGCCGGUCUCAGUUCGGAUUGGGGUCUGCAACUCGACCUCAUGAAGUCGGAGUCGCUAGUAAUCGCAGAUCAGCAACGCUGCGGUGAAUACGUUCCCGGG